rnacentral:rRNA from 1 species
UUGAACGCUGGCGGCAGGCCUAACACAUGCAAGUCGAGCGGUAGCACAGAGAGCUUGCUCUCGGGUGACGAGCGGCGGACGGGUGAGUAAUGUCUGGGAAACUGCCUGAUGGAGGGGGAUAACUACUGGAAACGGUAGCUAAUACCGCAUAAUGUCGCAAGACCAAAGUGGGGGACCUUCGGGCCUCAUGCCAUCAGAUGUGCCCAGAUGGGAUUAGCUAGUAGGUGGGGUAACGGCUCACCUAGGCGACGAUCCCUAGCUGGUCUGAGAGGAUGACCAGCCACACUGGAACUGAGACACGGUCCAGACUCCUACGGGAGGCAGCAGUGGGGAAUAUUGCACAAUGGGCGCAAGCCUGAUGCAGCCAUGCCGCGUGUGUGAAGAAGGCCUUCGGGUUGUAAAGCACUUUCAGCGGGGAGGAAGGCGGUGAGGUUAAUAACCUCAUCGAUUGACGUUACCCGCAGAAGAAGCACCGGCUAACUCCGUGCCAGCAGCCGCGGUAAUACGGAGGGUGCAAGCGUUAAUCGGAAUUACUGGGCGUAAAGCGCACGCAGGCGGUCUGUCAAGUCGGAUGUGAAAUCCCCGGGCUCAACCUGGGAACUGCAUUCGAAACUGGCAGGCUAGAGUCUUGUAGAGGGGGGUAGAAUUCCAGGUGUAGCGGUGAAAUGCGUAGAGAUCUGGAGGAAUACCGGUGGCGAAGGCGGCCCCCUGGACAAAGACUGACGCUCAGGUGCGAAAGCGUGGGGAGCAAACAGGAUUAGAUACCCUGGUAGUCCACGCCGUAAACGAUGUCGAUUUGGAGGUUGUGCCCUUGAGGCGUGGCUUCCGGAGCUAACGCGUUAAAUCGACCGCCUGGGGAGUACGGCCGCAAGGUUAAAACUCAAAUGAAUUGACGGGGGCCCGCACAAGCGGUGGAGCAUGUGGUUUAAUUCGAUGCAACGCGAAGAACCUUACCUGGUCUUGACAUCCACAGAACUUUCCAGAGAUGGAUUGGUGCCUUCGGGAACUGUGAGACAGGUGCUGCAUGGCUGUCGUCAGCUCGUGUUGUGAAAUGUUGGGUUAAGUCCCGCAACGAGCGCAACCCUUAUCCUUUGUUGCCAGCGGUUAGGCCGGGAACUCAAAGGAGAUAAACUGGAGGAAGGUGGGGAUGACGUCAAGUCAUCAUGGCCCUUACGACCAGGGCUACACACGUGCUACAAUGGCAUAUACAAAGAGAAGCGACCUCGCGAGAGCAAGCGGACCUCAUAAAGUAUGUCGUAGUCCGGAUUGGAGUCUGCAACUCGACUCCAUGAAGUCGGAAUCGCUAGUAAUCGUAGAUCAGAAUGCUACGGUGAAUACGUUCCCGGGCCUUGUACACACCGCCCGUCACACCAUGGGAGUGGGUUGCAAAAGAAGUAGGUAGCUUAACCUUCGGGAGGGCGCUUACCACUUUGUGAUUCAUGACUGGGGUG